rnacentral:lncRNA from 1 species
GCCCCAUAUCCACCCCAUAGCAGCCCCAUAGCACCCACAUAGCGGCCCCAUAGCACCCCAUAGCGGCCCCAUAAGUGCCCAUGAUCACCUCAUAGCAGUCCCCAUAAGGCCCCAUAUCACCCCAUAGCAGCCCCAUAGCCCCCAUAGCGGCCCCACUAGCGCCCCAUAAGUGCCCCAUAGAACCCCAUAGUGCCCAUAUCACCCCAUAAGUGCCCCCAUAGCACCCAUAGCGGGCCCCAAUAUCACCCAACGAUAGCGCCCCAUAGUCACCCCAUAUUCACCCCAUACGGGCCCGCAUAGCACCCCAUAGCGGCCCCAUAUCACCCCAUGCGCCCCAUAUCACCCCUAGGUCACCCCAUGAUCACCCAUAGCGGCCCAUAGCACCCCAUAGGGGGCCCAACCCAUAGCGCCCCAUAAGCGCCCCCAAUCACCCAUAGCGCCCAUAAAGUUGCCCCAUAGCACCCCAUAGGGCCCCAUAUCACCCAUAGCGGCCCCAUAAGUUCGCCCGAUAUCACCCCAUAGGGCCCCAUAUCAGCCCAUGCUGCCCCAUAGUGGCCCCAUAUCACCCCAUUAGCAGCCCGCCAUAAGUGCCCCAUAUCACCCCAUAGUGCCCCAUAUCAACCCCAUAGUCACCCGUACGAGCCCCAUAGCACCCCAAGCGGCCCCAUAUCACCCCAUAGCGCCCCAUAAGUGCCCCAUAUUUCACCCCAUAGCAGCCCCAUAAGUGCCCCAUAUCACCCCAUAGGGCCCCAUAUCACUCAUAGCAGCCCCAUAAGGCCCAUUAGCGCCCCAUAGUGCCCCAUAUCACCAUAGCGCCCCAUAUCACCCAUAGCGGCCCCAAAUAUCACCGCCAUACAACCCCAUAGCGGCCCCAUUCACGCCCUAGCGCCCCAUAAGUGCCCCAUAUCACCCCAUAGCAGCCCCAUAAGUGCCCCCAUAUCACCCCAUAGGGCCCCAUAUCACCUCAUAGCAGGCCCCAUAAGUGCCCCAUAGCGCCCCAUAUCACCCCAGAGCAGACGCCCAUAAGUGCCCCAUACGCGCCCUAUAAGUGCCCCAUGAUCACCCCGAUAGGCCCCAUAAUCACCCCAUAGCGGCCCCAUAAGUGCCCCUCUCUGCCCCACAGGCGCCUGGCGCGAACCUUCAUGGCGAUGGGGACCACAAGGUUUGGGGCAUUUGGGUUUAUCUCCUUGGCGGGGUAUAUGGAAGUAUUUGGGCGG